AUCCAGCUGACAAGCCCCAAACAGGACGAAACGCGUGUCCUGGAU
rfam:Schistosoma mattheei strain Denwood, Zambia genome assembly, scaffold: SMTD_scaffold0017025